rnacentral:rRNA from 1 species
AGAGUUUGAUCAUGGCUCAGAUUGAACGCUGGCGGCAGGCCUAACACAUGCAAGUCGAACGGUAACAGGAAGCAGCUUGCUGCUUCGCUGACGAGUGGCGGACGGGUGAGUAAUGUCUGGGAAGCUGCCUGAUGGAGGGGGAUAACUACUGGAAACGGUAGCUAAUACCGCAUAAUGUCGCAAGACCAAAGAGGGGGACCUUCGGGCCUCUUGCCAUCGGAUGUGCCCAGAUGGGAUUAGCUUGUUGGUGGGGUAACGGCUCACCAAGGCGACGAUCCCUAGCUGGUCUGAGAGGAUGACCAGCCACACUGGAACUGAGACACGGUCCAGACUCCUACGGGAGGCAGCAGUGGGGAAUAUUGCACAAUGGGCGCAAGCCUGAUGCAGCCAUGCCGCGUGUAUGAAGAAGGCCUUCGGGUUGUAAAGUACUUUCAGCGGGGAGGAAGGGAGCAAAGUUAAUACCUUUGCUCAUUGACGUUACCCGCAGAAGAAGCACCGGCUAACUCCGUGCCAGCAGCCGCGGUAAUACGGAGGGUGCAAGCGUUAAUCGGAAUUACUGGGCGUAAAGCGCACGCAGGCGGUUUGUUAAGUCAGAUGUGAAAUCCCCGGGCUCAACCUGGGAACUGCAUCUGAUACUGGCAAGCUUGAGUCUCGUAGAGGGGGGUAGAAUUCCAGGUGUAGCGGUGAAAUGCGUAGAGAUCUGGAGGAAUACCGGUGGCGAAGGCGGCCCCCUGGACGAAGACUGACGCUCAGGUGCGAAAGCGUGGGGAGCAAACAGGAUUAGAUACCCUGAUAGUCCACGCCGUAAACGAUGUCGACUUGGAGGUUGUGCCCUUGAGGCGUGGCUUCCGGAGCUAACGCGUUAAGUCGACCGCCUGGGGAGUACGGCCGCAAGGUUAAAACUCAAAUGAAUUGACGGGGGCCCGCACAAGCGGUGGAGCAUGUGGUUUAAUUCGAUGCAACGCGAAGAACCUUACCUGGUCUUGACAUCCACGGAAGUUUUCAGAGAUGAGAAUGUGCCUUCGGGAACCGUGAGACAGGUGCUGCAUGGCUGUCGUCAGCUCGUGUUGUGAAAUGUUGGGUUAAGUCCCGCAACGAGCGCAACCCUUAUCCUUUGUUGCCAGCGGUCCGGCCGGGAACUCAAAGGAGACUGCCAGUGAUAAACUGGAGGAAGGUGGGGAUGACGUCAAGUCAUCAUGGCCCUUACGACCAGGGCUACACACGUGCUACAAUGGCGCAUACAAAGAGAAGCGACCUCGCGAGAGCAAGCGGACCUCAUAAAGUGCGUCGUAGUCCGGAUUGGAGUCUGCAACUCGACUCCAUGAAGUCGGAAUCGCUAGUAAUCGUGGAUCAGAAUGCCACGGUGAAUACGUUCCCGGGCCUUGUACACACCGCCCGUCACACCAUGGGAGUGGGUUGCAAAAGAAGUAGGUAGCUUAACCUUCGGGAGGGCGCUUACCACUUUGUGAUUCAUGACUGGGGUGAAGUCGUAACAAGGUA